UACGUAGGGGGCAAGCGUUGUCCGGAUUUACUGGGCGUAAAGAGCGUGUAGGCGGCCACGCAGGUCCGUUGUGAAAACUGGAGGCUCAACCUUCAGACGUCGACGGAAACCGUGUGGCUAGAGUCCGGAAGGGGCGAGUGGAAUUCCUGGUGUAGCGGUGAAAUGCGCAGAUAUCGGGAGGAACACCAAUGGCGAAGGCAGCACUCUGGGCCGGUACUGACGCUGAGGAGCGAAAGCGUGGGGAGCGAACAGG
rnacentral:rRNA from 1 species